rnacentral:rRNA from 1 species
UACGGGGGGGGCAAGCGUUGUUCGGAAUUACUGGGCGUAAAGGGUUUGUAGGUGGCCGAUUAAGUCAUACGUGAAAUCCCUUAGCUUAACUGGGGAACUGCGUCUGAUACUGGUUGGCUUGAGUGCAGGAGAGGAACGCGGAAUUCCUGGUGUAGCGGUGAAAUGCGCAGAUAUCAGGAGGAACACCGGUGGCGAAGGCGGUUCUCUGGGCAUGUCCUGACGCUGAGGAGCGAAAGUGUGGGGAGCGAACAGG